UUCGGAAAAUUGUCUGAAUCCUCCUUUGGCCACGACUGCCGACACAAGCAAGAAAACAAAGUAAAUACCGGAGACUCUGGAGGAAUAACGGGCGCUUAAAACGGAGGUAGACCGGACAAGAGCUAAAAAGCCGGGUCAACAUAAACGAUGGGGGACGCUUGGGGAUCUUCGUGACCCUGUAACCUUUCUGCUGGACAGGUAAACCGCUUUAACAAAGUAAGACAAGUGUCUGUAACAGAAGUGUUUCUUGUCAAACGGACCUGCUGUAGCGUGUUGUAGCGCCAUCGCUAAACUGUCCUCCCUCGGGUCCUGGACUAUGUCACUUUAUCCUCGUUGUAGAAGUCCUGCAAACAUUGUGUUUGCUGGUAGUCUGUUGGCAUCUACAGUAGCACCAAUGCUUUUGACUUUCACCUUGACUGGGCCCCAUUUGUAAUGAUCUGAAGUAUUUAUCUGCAUUAUAUCUGAAUUUAACUGGAACGAUACGAGCGAGCAGGAGCGUCUGUUUGUGGGCGGGGCUUGAGAGAGAGAGAGAGAGAGAGAGAGAGAGAGAGAGAGAGAGAGAGAGAGAGAGAGAGAGAGAGAGAGAGAGUGUUUCUCUGUGUUGUCCCUUUAACUCUGUGGCUCUAAAACAGUUGAAGUGUGUUUCUGCUCGAUGAGGUUUCUAUGAGGUGAAUAAAUGUUGGUUCAGUUGAUCUUCAGGACGGCUGCAGCUUUAAGAACUUCUGCUUGUUGGAGUUUGAGAGUCUAAAGUUCACAGAGACGCUCCUCCUCCUGGAUUGUAGACAAACUGGAUCCCCCCCUCCCUCGUCUCUCUCAGCUCACUCCACUCUGCACUCUCACUUCCUUGUUCCCUCCCCUUCCAUCCUCCCUCCCCCUUCAGAUCUACAGUCUUGGUUGGCUGUAACCUCCGUGUGCUGAGGUCAUAUCCUGUUGACUCACUCAUGUUGUUGAGAUCAGAGCUCAGACUAGUUUCACUUCUCAGGAAAUAAAACUCAGUCAGUCAGUCGUCGACAGCGAGUGUUGAAAUGGCGCAGAAAGGAGUUCAUCUGGACCGUGAGUCUUUCUCUUGUUCCAUCUGUUUGGAUCUUCUGAAGGAUCCGGUGACUGUCUCCUGUGGACACAGCUUCUGCAUGAGCUGUAUUCAAUCCCACUGGGAUACUGAGGUUGAGAGGAUGAUCUACAGCUGUCCUCAGUGCAGAGAGACCUUCAGACCGAGGCCUGUCCUGAAGAAAAACACCAUGUUAGCAGGUUUAGUGGAGGAAGUGAAGAAGAGCGGACUCCAAGCUGCUCCUGAUGGUUCCUCUGAGGCUGGACCUGAAGAUGUGGCCUGUGAUUUCUGCAGUGGGAGAAAACUGAAAGCUGUCAAGUCCUGUCUUCAAUGUCUGGUUUCUUACUGUCAGAUUCACCUCCAGCCUCAUUUUGAAUCUCCUUCAUUUAAGAAACACAAGCUGGUGGAGCCCUCCAAGACGCUCCAGGAGAACAUCUGCUCUCGUCAUGAUGAGGUGAUGAAGAUCUUCUGCCGCACUGAUCAGAAGUCCAUCUGUUACCUCUGCUCUGUGGAACAACACAAAGGUCACGACACAGUCUCAGCUGCAGCAGAAAGGACUGAGAGGCAGAAAGAUCUGGAGGAGAGUCGAGGAAACAUCCAGCAGAGAAUCCAGGACAGAGAAGAAGAUGUGAAGCUGCUCCAACAGGAGGUGGAGGCUAUCAACGGCUCUGCUGAUAAAGCUGUGGACCACAGCCAGAAGAUCUUCAGCCAGCUGAUCCGUCUGAUGGAGAAACGCCGCUCUGAGGUGGAGCAGCAGGUCAGAUCCCAGCAGGAACGUGAAGUGAGUCGAGUCAAAGAGCUUCAGGAGAAGAUGGAGCAGGAGAUCACUGAGCUGAAGAGGAAAGACGCUGAUCUGCAGAAGCUCUCACUCACAGAGGACCACAACCAGUUUCUGCACAGCUACCCCUCACUGUCAGAACCGGGUCAACCUGCAGACUCAUCCAGAAUCAACAUCCGUCCUCAGAGAUACUUUGAGGAGGUGACAGCAGCUGUGUCAGAGCUCAGAGAGAAACUCCAGGAUCUUCUGACAGAGACGUGGACAAACGUCUCACAGGCAGUGACUGAUGUGGAUGUUUUACUGUUAGAACCACCAGAACCAGCAGAACCCAAGACCAGAGCUGGUUUCUUAAGAUAUUCACAAAGAAUCACACUGGAUCCAAACACAGUAAACAGAGAGCUGAUAUUAUCUGAUGGAAACAGAAGAGCAACAAAGACAGAAGAAGAAGAAGAAGAAGAGUCUUAUCCUGAUCAUCCAGACAGAUUCACUGGUAGGAUUCAGGUCCUGAGUAGAGAGAGUCUGACUGGACGUUGUUACUGGGAGGUGGACUGGAGAGGGGACAGGGUUGAUGUAGCAGUCGUAUACAAGACUAUCAGGAGAGACGGAGACUCAGAGGAUUGUUUAUUUGGAUUCAAUGACAAAUCUUGGAGGUUAGACUGUUCUAAAUCUUGUUAUACAUUUUGGCACAACAAAGUCUUCACUCCUGUCUCAGGUCCUCGGUCCUCCAGAGUAGGAGUGUUCCUGGAUCACAGAGCAGGUAUUCUGUCCUUCUACAGCGUCUCUAAAACCAUGACUCUCCUCCACAGAGUCCAGACCACAUUCACUGAACCUCUACAUGCUGGACUGGGGUUAUGGUUUGAUGGAGCCUCUGCUGAGUUUAUAGAAGUGAACUAAAGAGAAUUUUGAGUCCAUCAGACCAAAAUCAUGGACUGAGAUCCUUGAACUCUUGAAAUGUUCUGGUUUGUAAAUGUUUGUGGAUCAGUCUCACCAAAAACUCUGGGUUUAGUUCUUCAUUUCAGCUUUUUGAUUCUUUUCUAAAGAUGCUGAUUUGGUCGCAGCUUUAAGGACAGUGAUUGUGGAGAACUUUGAUUGUUUGUAUUUCUCAUGUUGAAAAAUCUUCAUCCAGUUUGAUAUCAACAACAUCAAGAUGAUGGUUUGUUCAAAUCACCUUCAGUUGGUGCAGAUGUUGAAGGUCUGAGACUUUAGAAAAAAGUGAGGUCAAAAUCACAGAAAAAGGACGACCUUAUUUCCUGUCCCAAAUCCAAGCGUCUAAAGUCUUUCCAGUCGUCCCCAAAAACUCUUCAGAUGAUCUGUUUCUUUCUCUGUUUGCUGAAUAUUUGUGUUCAUGUGAUCGAUGGAUAUUUCUGUCUGCUUCUGUUGGAUCAGUGUGUUUGUAAAGACAUCUAGAAUCAGACUUUGGACAGAUCUACAUGUUGUUAUGAGCUUUUCAAUCACUCUAAUAAUAAUAAUCACAUUCAUUAGUCCGACUGUUUGGAUGUUUCUGACUCAGCUCAGAUUGUGGUCAAGUCUCUGAUUGUGGGUAAAAAAAUCAUAAAAAUCCUCAAACUGAGUCACUGAAA
rnacentral:lncRNA from 1 species